rnacentral:rRNA from 1 species
UACGUAGGGUGCAAACGUUGUUCGGAAUUACUGGGCGUAAAGCGUGUGUAGGCGGCUACGCAAGUCGGAUGUGAAAGCCCUGGGCUCAACUCAGGAAGUGCACCCGAUACUGCGAAGCUAGAGUACCGGAGAGGUUGGUAGAAUUCUCGGUGUAGAGGUGAAAUUCGUAGAUAUCGAGAGGAAUACCUGUGGCGAAGGCGGCCAACUGGACGAGUACUGACGCUGAGACACGAAAGCGUGGGGAGCAAACAGG